GACGAACGCUGGCGGCGUGCUUAACACAUGCAAGUCGAACGGAAAGGCCCUGCUUUUGUGGGGUGCUCGAGUGGCGAACGGGUGAGUAACACGUGAGUAACCUGCCCUUGACUUUGGUAUAACUUCAGGAAACUGGGGCUAAUACCGGAUAGGAGCUCCUGCUGCAUGGUUGGGGUUGGAAAGUUUCGGCGGUUGGGGAUGGACUCGCGGCUUAUCAGCUUGUUGGUGGGGUAGUGGCUUACCAAGGCUUUGACGGGUAGCCGGCCUGAGAGGGUGAACGGACACAUUGGGACUGAGAUACGGCCCAGACUCCUACGGGAGGCAGCAGUGGGGAAUAUUGAACAAUGGGCGGAAGCCUGAUGAAGAAACGCCGCGUGCGGGAUGACGGCCUUCGGGUUGUAAACCGCUUUCAGCAGGGAAGAAGCUUUUUGUGACGGUACCUGCAGAAGAAGAACCGGCUAACUACGUG
rnacentral:rRNA from 1 species